GCUAUAUACAGGGGGUACCGGUACAGAGUCAAUGUGUCAAUGUGGAGGCUAUAUACAGGGGGUACCGUUACAGAGUCAAUGUGUCAAUGUGGAGGCUAUAUACAGGGGGAACCGGUACAGAGUCAAUGUGGAGGCUAUAUACAGGGGGUACCGGUACAGAGUCAAUGUGGAGGCUAUAUACAGGGGGUACCGUUACAGAGUCAAUGUGGAGGCUAUAUACAGGGGGGACCGGUACAGAGUCAAUGUGUCAAUGUGGAGGCUAUAUACCGAGGGGGUACCGAUACAGAGUCAAUGUGUCAAUGUGGAGGCUAUAUACAGAGGGUACCGUUACAGAGUCAAUGUGUCAAUGUGGAGGCUAUAUACAGGGGGUACCGGUACAGAGUCAAUGUGGAGGCUAUAUACAGGGGGUACCGGUACAGAGUCAAUGUGGAGGCUAUAUACAGGGGGUACCGGUACAGAGUCAAUGUGUCAAUGUGGAGGCUAUAUACAGGGGGUACCGGUACAGAGGCAAUGUGGCAAUGUGGAGGCUAUAUACAGGGGGUACCGUUACAGAGUCAAUGUGUCAAUGUGGAGGCUAUAUACAGGGGGUACCGGUACAGAGUCAAUGUGGAGGCUAUAUACAGGGGGUACCGGUACAGAGUCAAUGUGGAGGCUAUAUACAGGGGGUACCGGUACAGAGUCAAUGUGGAGGCUAUAUACAGGGGGGACCGAUACAGAGUCAAUGUGUCAAUGUGGAGGCUAUAUACAGGGGGUACCGAUACAGAGUCAAUGUGUCAAUGUGGAGGCUAUAUACAGAGGGUACCGUUACAGAGUCAAGAGUCAAUGUGGAGGCUAUAUACAGGGGGUACCGGUACAGAGUCAAUGUGGAGGCUAUAUACAGGGGGUACCGUUACAGAGUCAAUGUGGAGGCUAUAUACAGGGGGGACCGGUACAGAGUCCAUGUGGAGGCUAUAUACAGAGGGUACCGGUACAGAGUCAAUGUGUCAAUGUGGAGGCUAUAUACAGAGGGUACCGGUACAGAGUCAAUGUGUCAAUGUGG
rnacentral:lncRNA from 8 species